CUCGUAGGCGGCCAACUAAGUCAAACGUGAAAUCCCUCGGCUUAACCGGGGAACUGCGCUUGAUACUGGAUGGCUUGAGAUUGGGAGAGGGAUGCGGAAUUCCAGGUGUAGCGGUGAAAUGCGUAGAUAUCUGGAGGAACACCGGUGGCGAAGGCGGCAUCCUGGACCAACACUGACGCUGAGGAGCGAAAGCCAGGGAGCAAACG
rnacentral:rRNA from 1 species